CCCAUGUGAAGUGAUGGAGGGUGCCAUGUGAAGCUCUCCACAGAUAACAGUGGUGACAGCACCAUGUUCUUCAGUGAUGUUGGGCAGUGAUGGAGGGUGCCAUGUGAAGCUCUCCACAGAUAACAGUGGUGACAGCACCAUGUUCUUCAGUGAUGUUGGGCAGUGAUGGAGGGUGCCAUGUGAAGCUCUCCACAGAUAACAGUGGUGACAGCAUCAUGUUCUUCAGUGAUGUUGGGCAGUGAUGGAGGGUGCCAUGUGAAGCUCUCCAGAGAUAACAGUGGUGACAGCACCAUGUUCUUCAGUGAUGGCGGGCAGUGAUGGAGGGUGCCAUGUGAAGCUCUCCAGAGAUAACAGUGGUGACAGCACCAUGUUCUUCAGUGAUGGCAGGCAGUGAUGGAGGGUGCCAUGUGAAGCUCUCCACAGAUAACAGUGGUGACAGCACCAUGUUCUUCAGUGAUGGCGGGCAGUGAUGGAGGGUGCCAUGUGAAGCUCUCCACAGAUAACAGUGGUGACAGCAUCAUGUUCUUCAGUGAUGGCGGGCAGUGAUGGAGGGUGCCAUGUGAAGCUCUCCACAGAUAACAGUGGUGACAGCACCAUGUUCUUCAGUGAUGGCAGGCAGUGAUGGAGGGUGCCAUGUGAAGCUCUCCACAGAUAACAGUGGUGACAGCACCAUGUUCUUCAGUGAUGGCGGGUAGUG